rnacentral:rRNA from 1 species
GACGAACGCUGGCGGCGUGCUUAACACAUGCAAGUCGAACGUGAUUUUUGUGGAAAUUCUUUCGGGAAUGGAAAUGAAAUGAAAGUGGCGAACGGGUGAGUAACACGUGAGCAACCUACCUUACACAGGGGGAUAGCCGUUGGAAACGACGAUUAAUACCGCAUGAGACCACAGAAUCGCAUGAUAUAGGGGUCAAAGAUUUAUCGGUGUAAGAAGGGCUCGCGUCUGAUUAGCUAGUUGGAAGGGUAAAGGCCUACCAAGGCGACGAUCAGUAGCCGGUCUGAGAGGAUGAACGGCCACAUUGGAACUGAGACACGGUCCAAACUCCUACGGGAGGCAGCAGUGGGGAAUAUUGCACAAUGGGGGGAACCCUGAUGCAGCGACGCCGCGUGAGCGAAGAAGGUUUUCGAAUCGUAAAGCUCUGUCCUAUGAGAAGAUAAUGACGGUAUCAUAG